rnacentral:tRNA from 1 species
AUUCUAUUAGUUUAAUUUAAAAUAUAACUUUGAAGCAGUUAAGAUUAAUAAGAAUA